ACUGCCUUCUGCGCUAACACCUCCGUUUCUGUUUAUAACCGCGUAUUUAUUACUUAAUGUAUAUAAUGUAAUGUUUUGUAAGUUAUUAAUUUAUAUAUCUAACAUUGCCUGCCAAUGGUGGUGUUAAAUUUGUGUAGAAGACUCUGCCUAAGAGUUGCAACUUUUCUUGUACCGUUUUGUAUUGUGUAUUGUAUAACCUGAACAUUGCUUAAUAGAGACAUACGGCCCCCUCGCCAGUGAGGACACCAGUGGGUCUGCCCUCUGCCCCUGUCUGAGUUGCUAACACUGCUCAACGCCUUCGUGAAUCGGUUUUGGAAACAGGAUUCUCCCAUUAGAUACUAAGUGGUUUAUAUUGAGCUUUUACUUUUGUAGAGUUUGAUAGGGGUAGGGGACGACGGGAUGUGGUUUUUGCCCCUGUUCUAUCCAAAUCUGUACAUGAGUUGGGUUUUAACUGGGUUCUACUAUUAUCGUGGCUUCAGUUGAACAAAAAACACUACAUUGCGUUUAACGAGCAACUCACAGAUAGUUCUAGAAGUCCCCAAACUCCUGACUUGGAAGAGAGAGCCUCCUGCCUGCUGUUCAGCAGAAAUACCAUGUUCCAAUGAUGCAAAAGAAAACAAUAAAACAAUGUGAAUCCUAUAAUAAAAUGUGAACUGAUGUAGUAAAUUAUGCCAAUGUGAAGCUUCUGAUAACACUUGUUAGGCCUCUGAGUGGCUUUGGUCUCCGUCUGUAAAAUAUAUUUCCUGCUUCCAGAUCAGCAUUGUGACUCAGUAGAUAAAGAAAUGGCACAAACGUGCAUGACCAAUGGGUUUGUAUGUCUAUAAACACUGCAUUAUUUCAGGUGGACAUUUUAUUGUUUUCCGAAGUUUCUCACAAUGUAUGUUAAUAGUAUUAUUAUUAUAUAUUGUGCUCAGAUGCAUUCUUCAGAGACUUUUAUAUGAGGUGAAUAAACAAAAGCAUGAUUAGAUUAGACUGUAGGCCCAAUUAUUUUGUGGUUAGUUCUGACGCAUUAAAAGCGGAUCUUUUUUUUUUUUUUUUCUCUUCUCUCCUACCAUACCCCACAGAGAAAAUCAACCACUUUGCCUGGCCAACGGCACAACUGAAGUUUCAUAAUCUGUGUCCAAAAAGUCCCCCAGCUUGGAAGGUGUAGCUCUGCACCACAAGAAGGGAUCGAGGAGAAGAUCGCAGAGAAGCAGGAGCACAGAUGCGGCCCCGGGAUUAAGAGCUUAGGCUCUGAAGGUAAACGGACCCCAUCUCCAGUCCCUGCCCUUUCACUUCUUAGCUG
rnacentral:lncRNA from 1 species